GGUCGCGUGGCUCCAGCGGCAGAGCAUAGUGCUAAUAUUGAAACGCGAGGGUUGUGAGUUCGAGUCUCACCGUGACGCA